UACGUAGGGCGCAAGCGUUGUCCGGAAUUAUUGGGCGUAAAGAACUCGUAGGCGGUCUGUCGCGUCCGUUGUGAAAACUCGAGGCUCAACCUCGGGCUUGCAGUGGAUACGGGCAGACUAGAGUGCGGUAGGGGAGACUGGAAUUCCUGGUGUAGCGGUGGAAUGCGCAGAUAUCAGGAGGAACACCGAUGGCGAAGGCAGGUCUCUGGGCCGCAACUGACGCUGAGGAGCGAAAGCAUGGGGAGCGAACAGG
rnacentral:rRNA from 1 species